AAAAGCUAUCAUUUUUUUUCAUUCUUUCUUCUUCAACCGUGGGAAAGAACAGAAAAUAGCAGCCAUGGAUGAGCUCCAUUCGGCCAAGCUUUUAUGGCUUAUAUAGAUGAUGAAAAUUGAGACUUGGACCUAGAACGGAAAGAAAUCGAUUUAUGGACGAGUAUGUCCUUUUCACAUUUGUGGUAUCGAGAGUUUCCAGGUUAGCUCGGGUUGGAGGCCGUCAGAGAUAUUAUCACCCUAUCGAGUUAACGUUAUCGGAGUAAGUAAACUUAAGUGAUUCGAGUCUAUGGCAUGUAUAGGGUUUUAAUGUGAGUAUGUAAUAUUAUGAUUUGGCCAAAGGCAUUGGCUUAUUAUUAAGGUAGUAUUAGUCAUGUAAAUUGGCCUAUGUCAGCUAAUGACAUUAUGGGCCCAUAUGAUUAUUCUUAUGCAUGUAUGUUAUUAUCUCUUGUGAUGUGGCUUACAACAUGUAUGCCUAGAGAUUGAAUUGAGAUUCAUUGAUGAGCUAGUAACUAAUGCAGGAUUAAGUGAUUGGUAAAUAGUUAAUAA